rnacentral:rRNA from 1 species
AACGAACGCUGGCGGCAGGCUUAACACAUGCAAGUCGAGCGCCCCGCAAGGGGAGCGGCAGACGGGUGAGUAACACGUGGGAACCUACCUGGUGGUACGGAACAACACAGGGAAACUUGUGCUAAUACCGUAUAAGUCCUUCGGGAGAAAGAUUUAUCGCCAUCAGAUGGGCCCGCGUCGGAUUAGCUAGUUGGUGUGGUAACGGCGCACCAAGGCGACGAUCCGUAGCUGGUCUGAGAGGAUGAUCAGCCACACUGGGACUGAGACACGGCCCAGACUCCUACGGGAGGCAGCAGUGGGGAAUCUUAGACAAUGGGGGCAACCCUGAUCUAGCCAUGCCGCGUGAGUGAUGAAGGCCCUAGGGUUGUAAAGCUCUUUCAGCUGGGAAGAUAAUGACGGUACCAGCAGAAGAAGCCCCGGCUAACUCCGUGCCAGCAGCCGCGGUAACAC